GACGUAGGGCGCGAGCGUUGUCCGGAUUUAUUGGGCGUAAAGAGCUCGUAGGCGGCUUGUCGCGUCGUCCGUGAAAACCUGCAGCUCAACUGCAGGCUUGCGGUCGAUACGGGCAGGCUAGAGUUCGGUAGGGGAGACUGGAAUUCCUGGUGUAGCGGUGAAAUGCGCGGAUAUCAGGAGGAACACCGGUGGCGAAGGCGGGACUCUGGGCCGAUACUGACGCUGAGGAGCGAAAGCGUGGGGAGCGAACAGG
rnacentral:rRNA from 1 species